rfam:Deinococcus marmoris strain KOPRI26562 contig-11, whole genome shotgun sequence.
CUGCGUCACCGGGGGUGCCUGUCCUUUUAGGGCGGGCUGAGAAACACCCCAACGAACCUGAUCCGGGUCAUACCGGCGGAGGGAGCGUGACCGGCCAGCCCC